CAGAGGGUGCAAGCGUUAAUCGGAAUUACUGGGCGUAAAGCGUGCGUAGUCGGUUAUCUAAGUCGGAUGUGAAAUCCCCGGGCUCAACCUGGGAAUUGCGUUCGAUACUGGGUAGCUAGAGUCCGGCAGAGGGAAGCGGAAUUUCUGGUGUAGCGGUGAAAUGCGUAGAUAUCAGAAGGAACAUCAGUGGCGAAAGCGGCUUCCUGGACCAGAACUGACGAUCAGGCACGAAAGCGUGGGGAGCAAACAGGAUUAGAUACCCUGGUAGUCCACGCCAUAAACGAUGACAACUAGACGUUGGGGACAUAUGGUCCACAGUGUCGCAGCUAACGCGUUAAGUUGUCCGCCUGGGGAGUACGGCCGCAAGGUUG
rnacentral:rRNA from 1 species